rnacentral:rRNA from 1 species
AUUGAACGCUGGCGGCAUGCUUUACACAUGCAAGUCGAACGGCAGCGCGGGCUUCGGCCUGGCGGCGAGUGGCGAACGGGUGAGUAAUACAUCGGAACGUGCCCAGUAGUGGGGGAUAGCUCGGCGAAAGCCGGAUUAAUACCGCAUACGACCUGAGGGUGAAAGCGGGGGAUCUUCGGACCUCGCGCUAUUGGAGCGGCCGAUGGCAGAUUAGCUAGUUGGUGGGGUAAAGGCCUACCAAGGCGACGAUCUGUAGCUGGUCUGAGAGGACGACCAGACACACUGGGACUGAGACACGGCCCAGACUCCUACGGGAGGCAGCAGUAGGGAAUUUUGGACAAUGGGCGAAAGCCUGAUCCAGCAAUGCCGCGUGUGUGAUGAAGGCCUUCGGGUUGUAAAGCACUUUUGGCGGGAACGAAAAGGACUGUGCCAAUACCACGGUGCGAUGACGGUACCCGCAGAAUAAGCACCGGCUAACUACGUG